rnacentral:rRNA from 1 species
UACGAAGGGUGCAAGCGUUACUCGGAAUUACUGGGCGUAAAGCGUGCGUAGGUGGUUGUUUAAGUCUGCUGUGAAAGCCCUGGGCUCAACCUGGGAAUUGCAGUGGAUACUGGGCGACUAGAGUGUGGUAGAGGAUAGUGGAAUUUCCGGUGUAGCAGUGAAAUGCGUAGAGAUCGGAAGGAACAUCUGUGGCGAAGGCGACUAUCUGGGCCAACACUGACACUGAGGCACGAAAUCGUGGGGAGCAAACAGG